rnacentral:lncRNA from 1 species
CUGCGAGGAUCUUCCAGGCUUGGGAUGAGUCCUAGGGCUGGCUCUGCCUUUGGAGGCCAUGUGACCUUGGACACCGUUGUCCCCUCUGAGCCUCUAUGCCUUCAUCUGUAAGGUGGAAGUAAUUGUGUCUACUUGGUGGAGCUGCUGUGGACGUGAAAACCCACCCCUGUGGGUGGAGAGCUGGGCACUUCUUAGAUCUCCACUAAAUACCAGCUGCAGAGCAGAACAGGGGGCCCUUCUGCUGGCUGAUGCACCCCUCCACAGGUGGUUCCACUGGACCCCAGUAGGGGAAGGGCCCGGGGCAUGGCGGGCUCAGAAUAUCCAGAAAUCUGAGGUACCUGAAGAGGACUCAUCCCCCAAACAAGCUAUCUGGGCCACCUUGACAACCCUGAGGGCUACAGCUGAGGCAUCCGGGUCCUUCAGGGAAGCAUCGAGGAGGUGGCCAUCAGGAGGGAAGGAAGCCAGUCUGGACUGAGCCCUCGCCGCUGGCUAAGUGCUGAGGAUGCCUCCUCUCUCUCCGUGGCCUCUCUGCAUGUCAUCCUCUUUGCAGAUGAGGACGCAAACUCAGUCAAGGCAAGUAACGUCCUAAGGGUGUAG